rnacentral:tRNA from 1 species
AGGGGAUUGGUGUAAUUGGUAGCACGACGGAUUCUGGUUCCGUUAGUAAAGGUUCGAGUCCUUUAUCCCCUG